rnacentral:rRNA from 1 species
UGGGGAAUAUUGGACAAUGGGCGAAAGCCUGAUCCAGCCAUGCCGCGUGUGUGAAGAAGGUCUUCGGAUUGUAAAGCACUUUAAGUUGGGAGGAAGGGCAGUAAGCGAAUACCUUGCUGUUUUGACGUUACCGACAGAAUAAGCACCGGCUAACGCUGUGCCAGCAGCCGCGGAAAUACAGAGGGUGCAAGCGUUAAUCGGAAUUACUGGGCGUAAAGCGCGCGUAGGUGGUUCGUUAAGUUGAAUGUGAAAGCCCCCGGCUCAACCUGGGAACUGCAUCCAAAACUGGCGAGCUAGAGUAGGGCAGAGGGUGGUGGAAUUUCCUGUGUAGCGGUGAAAUGCGUAGAUAUAGGAAGGAACACCAGUGGCGAAGGCGACCACCUGGGCUCAUACUGACUCUGCGGUGCGAAAGCGUGGGGAGCAAACAGG